UCCCUUAGAUAUCCUCAUAUAUGCUCCCCAAAGCGCCACCCACAUUGAGGGUAGGAAUACAGAGAACUUGACAGGAACACCUCCACGAUGAGCUUGAGAAUGAGUGACAGCAAUUUAGAGAUGAAUUAGUUAUUGGUACAUAGCAAACUAAGUAAGUGAAAAGAAUGAGCCACCUAAUGAACUGCCAAAAGUUAAAAGAAAAUCAUAAAAGAAGGGAGUUGUAAUCAUAAUCAACUGGAUAGCUCAGCAAUAAAUAAUGGAACAAUCACAAGAACAUCAUUUAUGAACUUUUCUAACCCAAUGUGGUCUGGCCAUGAGGGAAGGGAGAAUUUUAGCAAAGCUAAAGCUUCAUAAUAAGGAGUCAGCAGUCACUACCAAAAGUUAAUAUAAAAGCUAACAAUGUAACUAUGUAAUUAAUAUAACUAGAGCUAAAUACCAGAAGAAUAAGAGUUGAAUGUCGUUUGUUUGAGGGGAGCUGGUAUCACUAAGAACUUGGAUAAGAUGGAUUGGAGAACAGCCAUUCCCAUCAUAAGUCAAGAAGUGAAAUUAAAUGUGUAAGAAAUAUGCAUUGAUGAUUUAGAUUAAAAAUUAAUUUCAAAUUGUUGCUUGGGGGUGUGUCUCAGCGAUAGAGCAGUUGCCCAACACACAUAAGUCUCUGAAUUCAAUCAACAAUAUCACUGAAAUAAUUAAAUUUAAUUAGUCAAACUUGAUCUUGCCUACUUUAUCAAUGAAUAAUUAUUAAAAAAAAUAAUGAUGCCUUCCAUCGAGGGCUUUGAACUUGCUCUCUUUCACUAUGUCAAAUACUUUUUGGGAACAGGGCAUAUGAAGACUUCUAGAUCCUGUUAGAUAUUCUAAUAAAUAGUACUCAAACUACCCAUGCAGAUAACUUAAAAUGUAGCUAAAUUUUACUUUGGUGAAUUUUGUUUCUGUCACAGAUAUGUGGCUAGUUUUGCUUUACUUUGUGUUUCACCAGACUUGCAUAUAUGUACCAAAUCUGAAAACUAUACAUUGAAAACCAUGACUUAAUACAACCAAAAAUUAAUAGCUUACAUGGGCAGUAUUACCUAACUUGUCAAGAAAUGCUUUGUAUCACUUAUGUGAGUCACACUCUAGCUUCUUACAUUGACUGUGUACUUCCUGAUGUGAAUUUCUGCAUAGAUCAUAACUUUUAUUUUAUUAUCCUUGCUUGUCUUUAUAUGUCUGAUUACCUACCACUUUAAAGAUUAUUUAUUUAUUUAAUGUGCCUAAGUGUUUUGCCUGUAUGUAGGUCUGUGUGCAGAUUUCUGAUCCCUUGGAACUGGAGUUACAGACAGCUGUGAGCUGCCAUGUGAGAACUGAACGCAGGUCCUCUAGAAGAGCAGCUGAUGCUCUCAACCACUGAGCCAUCUCUCCAAUCCUCUGGAUACCAUUACUUAUGAUUAUCAGUAACUCUUAAAUUUGAACUCUAUAUUGAAGCAGAGAAAUGAUUCCCUCAAUGAGAAUUCAUUCCACAUACUCAGGAAAAAUAGGCAAAAUAAAACAAAACUUAAAAAAAAAUACUGUGCAUCCAGCAUUGGCUAAUGACUGACUAAUUCCUCCCAAAGAGGUAUCAGUCUUGAACAGAAAAUUUUAGUAACUUUUGUAGACCCCAGGCUUAUAUAUUCUACAUAGGCUGUCAUACCUGUUUUCAGGCCCUUUUGCCAAGUUAUACUUUUUAAAAUGUAAACAGAGACAGGGGCCUGCAAGUCUGGCCAUUUUUUGUAUGGGAGAUUUACAUAAAUAUUGUCAAAAUUAUUUUUAAGUCCCAGGAACACCACAAAGACUAAACAAUGAGAACCCGGAUCCCCUCUGGAAUAUGACGGCCCAGUCUUUUCAGUUCACCAAAAAACAUCCAGAGCUGAGUUGACUAAAUCAUGCUGGUUGUGCUAUGAGAUAAGACUGCCAUACUCUUAGGGCAUAGCUGAUUUAAAACUUUACCCAAACUGGGAACUUCAAUUAGCCCCAAUGAGUAUAGAUGACAACAAGGUAAAGCUAGGUUGACCUUACAGGCCAUAGAGGGUCAAGACUCCUAUAUAGAGACAGUUCCUGGGGCCUAUAGCCAUCUUUGUAACUGGACUUACAAGAUAAAUACAAACAAUGGUAUCUACCUAUUGCCACCCAUCAAUGCCUGGUGGGUAUGCACUACAUGGCUCACCCCAUUCAUCUAUGAGACUAUACUACAUCAGAACAAAUGAUUCUGUGUACUUGUCCAGUUAAUACCUAUGGUUAUCUAUCACACUAAAGAACAAGUUCUAAAUUUUCUUGAUAUAAUUUAAGGUUUAACCCCCACCCCACCCCCAGGAACCAAUUUUGGCUUUAACUCUGGUGGUUCUAACAGGAUUGGAUGUGGCCUACAUAGAAAUGGGGUAGCUUCCUUAGUGUUAUAAAACAAACAUUAGGAUGGGCUAAGAGAGGCCAUAGAUACUGAUAUAAAGAUAUUUU
rnacentral:lncRNA from 1 species